GGCGUAAUGAAAGUAAAAAGUAUAGUUAUUUAAAAAAUAAUGAAAAGAAAUUUUCUUAUUUUUAACUUUAUAACUAUCUUAAGGGAAGAUGGAAAUCACCAUUUAUAUAUAAUAUAUAUUUUAUAUGUGUUAUAUUAAAUGUAUUAGAUUUCUCGCACUCCCGGGGCGCUUGUUUCACGCUUUGCGUGUCAAUGCGCACCUAGAGCGUACACGCUGAUACCCGAAAGAUGGUGAACUAUGCCUGGCCAGGACGAAGCCAGGGGAAACCCUGGUGGAGGUCCGCAGCGAUUCUGACGUGCAAAUCGAUCGUCGGAGCUGGGUAUAGGGGCGAAAGACCAAUCGAACCAUCUAGUAGCUGGUUCCCUCUGAAGUUUCCCUCAGGAUAGCUUGCGCUCGGUUGAGAAGAGUCUCAUCCGGUAGAGCGAAUGAUUAGAGGCAUUGGGGUCGAAACGACCUCAACCUAUUCUCAAACUCCAAAUAGAUGAGACCCCCGGCUUUCUUAAAAGUGAAGCCGUGGGAUUUUGAUCAGAGUGCCAAGUGGGCCAAUUUUGGUAAGCAGAACUGGCG
rnacentral:rRNA from 1 species